rnacentral:piRNA from 1 species
GAGGAUACCAGGGUUACACAGAGGUCUU